rfam:Acetobacterium wieringae strain DSM 1911 ACWI_contig000048, whole genome shotgun sequence.
GGGGUCAGUAAUUGGGGUGAAGUCGUAACAAGGUAGCCGUAUCGGAAGGUGCGGCUGGAUCACCUCCUUU